rnacentral:lncRNA from 1 species
GCGGCGGGGGCGCCGCCGGGGCCCGUGGGCGGCGGAGGCGGCCAGCCCGGAGGCGGCCGCGGCCCUGGGAAGGGACGGGGAGGUGGCGCCAGGCGACCGUUACGGCGGCGCGUGCGGAGCCGAGGAGAAGCAGUAAUACAUCACUCUAAGAAUCGCUGCCUUUGGACACUACUCUGAAGGUUCUCACACAUGAAAAAUUCAAUUUCAAUAUGAACUUUGUCCAAGAGAGGUCUGAAAGCUGCAUUGUUAUGAUGCCCAGGACUGUAGCACUGGUGAUGGUAUACAAUGGCUAUGCUAUCACACACCAUGGAGCAAGUGACUUAGAAGGGAGGAGAAGGCUUAUCCUUCCAGGAAGUCCACCUCUGAUAUGCUUCAUAUGUUAUCCUGUCUCUGUAGAAGAGUUUCUGCAUACAUGCAUUAGGAGAUAAUGUCUCUCCUGAAAAGACUGAUAAUCUGUGUAAGGUUGGGAUCCUGAUACUUUCCCCCCACUCUAUGGAAGUGGAACAGAAAGGCUGUGGUUUGCCAGAAGUCUUAAGGAAAACCUUGCAGGAGAGCCAAGAACCGAGACUGGACUUCUUACCUCCCAAAUCAGUGCCUUAACCACAAAUCCAGCCAUCCCCUCUUGCUAAUGCCACGCCAACUGCAUUAUAAAUCUAGUUUGUAAGUUAUGAAGCCAGUCAGUGACAAUUAUCUGGACAGCACAAACAUAGUAACACUGCAAACAUGUUUGUUAGGCAAUAAAAUCUUACACACCCAAGAAGCUCA